rfam:Bacteroidetes bacterium GWA2_31_9 gwa2_scaffold_9118, whole genome shotgun sequence.
ACAGCGAUUGCCGAAAAGCUGAAAAAAAUAGAGUAGGCA